rnacentral:misc_RNA from 1 species
GGGUAGUAUGUGAUGCAGAUUUCAGUGAUCAUCGAAUCCUUUGAACGCACAUUGCGCCCCCUGGUAUUCCGGGGGGCAUGCCUGUUCGAGCGUCAUUUCACCCCUCAAGCCUCGCUUGGUAUUGGGCGACUUGUCCCGCCCUGUGCCUCAAAUCCACCGGCUGGUUCUUCUGUCCCCUAACCGUUGUGGAAACUAUUCGCUAAAGGGUGUUCGGCAGGCUACGCCGGAAAACAACCCCUUUUCUAAGGUUGACCUCUGAUCAAGUAGGGAUACCCGCUGAACUUAAUCAUAUCAAUAACCGGAGGAAAGAAGAGGAAAGACUCCCCGACCACAGAAGCAGUACAACUUCUUCUAGCCCGCCAUGCCCGAAGGCUACGUCCAGGAGCGCACCAUCUUCUUCAAGGACGACG